ACUAGGAUUUAUCCUGGGGUCACAAUGGGCUUGAUUUGCAAACUUUAUUUAGCGAGGAACAAUUGGAGGGCAAGUCUGGUGCCAGCAGCCGCGGUAAUUCCAGCUCCAAUAGUGUAUAUUAAUGUUCCUGCAGUUAUUCGAUGCUCGUAGUUGGAUUUCUGGGGGCUGAGAUUGGAAGGUGGCCAAGGUCACCGCCGAACUCUUCCUUCAUCCACCUGUUAACGUUGUCCGGGAUUUGUUUCUCGGCUUCAGGCUCAGGUAUUUUACCCUUUCUAUAUAUUCAUUUAUUUAUCUUCUUUUUGAGUAAAUUAUAGUGUUUCAGGCAGGCGUGCGCCGGAAUACUUUAGCAUGGAAUAAUCGAAUUGGACCGUGUAUUCUUAUAGAAUUCUUCCUUAUUUGUUGGUUUCAAGGACACGGAAAUGGUUAAUAGGGAUAGUGUUUUCAGGGGAGGCAUUAGUAUUUAAUUUCCAGAGGUGAAAUUCUUUGAAAUAUUAAAGACUAACUUAUGCGAAAGCAUUUAUUUUGCCAAUAAUGUUUUCAUUAAUCAUUGAACGAAAGUUAGGGGAUCAAAGACGAUCAGAUACCGUCCUAGUCUUAACCAUAAACGUUGCCGACUAGGGAUCGGAGGGCGUGCACAUUCCGCCUUCGGCACCUUACGAGAAAUCAAAGUCUUUUGGGUUCUGGGGGUAGUAUGGUCGCAAGGCUGAAACUUAAAGGAAUUGACGGAAGGGCACCACCAGGAGUGGAGCUUGCGGCUCAAUUUGACUCAACACGGGAAAUCUUACCAGGUCCAGACAUAGCGAGGAUUGACAGAUUGAUAGCUCUUUCUUGAUUCUAUGGGUAUUUAUUUUAAUUUUGGUGGUGCAUGGCCGUUCUUAGUUGGUGGAGUGAUUUGUCUGGUUAAUUCCGUUAAACGAACGAGACCUCAGCCUGCUAAAUAGUUACCUGUCUUUCUUUUACGAGACUUGAUAACUUCUUAGAGGGACGUUGUGUGCAACCACAAGGAAGUUGAGGCAAUAACAGGUCUGUGAUGCCCUUAGAUGUCCUGGGCCGCACGCGUGCUACACUGAUACGUACAACAAGGUAUAUGCAUUUAUGCAUCGAUGCUGCUCCGAAAUAGACAUAGCUAAAUCUUCUAAAAUACGUAUCGUGCUGCGGAUAGAUCGUUGAAAUUAUGGAUCUUGAAGGUGGAAUUCCUAGUAAGCGCGGGUCAUCAACCCGCGUUGAUUACGUCCCUGCCCUUUGUACACACCGCCCGUCGCUCCUACCAAUUUCGAGUGGCUCGGUGAACCUCUUUGGACUGUCGAGCAAUCGCGAAAUUAGAGUGAACCUGGUCAC
rnacentral:rRNA from 1 species